UUCAAAAGCCCUAAUUAUCUUAUAGUGAAUCUCUGGCGAUUUAAACAUCUUUAUCAUCUUCAACCGUUGCUUUGGCACAUCACGCCUAAAGGUUUUUCUAUGUUCACCUCUUUUUCUUUCAUCCGCCUCCGUAUGCAGAAACCCUAAUACUCAUACGCUGCAUCUAUGGCCACCACACUCUGGUUCUUUGUGCUUGCGACCACCCCCUCUGUCUUCUUCAUCUCGCGUGAUGGGCUUUUGAUUUGAGAAGUCAUGGGGACGUUGGUGGAGUUCGGAGCUUUGACGCUCCGGCAGGCGGUGAUAAUGGCUGCGGUGUUUUCGGGUUAAUCGGGUCUCUAAAAUUUUGAUACCGUUAAGUCGCUGCAGCCGUUAAGGAAUCAUAAUGGAUACAAUGCGGGUAGUGGGAAGAACAAGAAAACGGCGGUUGAAAAUUCGGAUGGGUUUGAGCAGUGGAGAGCGAAGAAGGCAAAUGCGCAGAAAGAAAUGAAGCAGAAUGGCGGUUCAUGUGAUGUGGAGAAUGAACUGCAGAAAGCGAUCAAGGCUGCAUCGUCGUCGUGAUGAGUUAUUUGCAUCAAUGGAUAUCGACGAGAAUAUGCGAGUCGUACUGAUUGACUGACUCAUUUAAGUAACUUCAGCUGGAAAUCUUGCUGCGGUGCUCCAGGGGUAUCUUCGUCAUUUUAGGUUGGGUAAUGAGUUAUCUGUGUGUGCAGCGAGACGUUUGGGGUUUCUCAGCCUUUGUUACAUCCACAGUGGUUGCUGCAAGAUUUUCGCCCAGCUCAUUAUUCAUAUAGGUGUUCUGUUUAGUUAUCUGGGGUUGCUGGGUGGAUUUCGGGUUUUCUGCUGGGACAUACGGGGCUGUGAGGAGACCUGUAUUGGGCGGCUGGGCUGGGAUUUAAUCAUCUGUUGAAGGCCCGGGCUUGGUCGGAGUUAUGUUUGUUUUGUGCUAUUGAGAUGGAGCCCACUUUAAGCUUUAUGGCCCAGAUGAAUUACAAAAUUUUGAUGCACGAGGCCCGUUUUGCUGGUGCCAUCCUGGGCUGUCUGGCUAUGCUUAUGGUCAGGCUGAUGAUUGUCAAGAUGAAGACCCACCACUGGGUUUGCAAAAUGGUGUUCAAGACUCAGAUGCAUGAUGGUGUUGAGAAGCCGCGCAAUAUGGCAAAGGUCAUUAACUCAAGGUGGGUUGGUAGUAAGUGGGCUCGCCAUUUCAAUGCUCAAAAGGGUAAUUGAAUCAAUUCUUUUGAUUCUUGAUUCAUCCGUAGUACAAUGUUUUGAGUUGAUGGAGGAUCUUUAAUAGACUACAUGAUAGGUACUGAUUAACAAUAUUAAAGAUAUUGCUCCAAUAAUUUACACUCUUACAAUAGGUUUGGUAUGCCAAAACUAUUCAGUGUUGUUUAGACGCCCACAUGGAACGUACUUCAGUGCAAAAGAUAAAGGAGAGAUUAUGUCUAUAAGUGGCCAGCUCCUAAGGUAUAUCAUGAAUCCCAAAAGUGUGUAUGUGUUAAUAUUGAUUUUAAUUAACUUAGUAUAAUCAUAAAAAAAUUAUUCAGGUAGACAUGGUAAUGCUUACAAUUCAGGUUUUUGUCUACUCGGUUUUCGGGUGGCUUUGGGUCAGUUUUUUUUUAUUAGAGGUAAUUCCUCAUCUUAGGGAUGAGCAAAUGGUAUCGGGUACUGGUACCGAAUUUACCGAACCGGGUACAUUUUCGGUACCAAUUCAAUACCGACUUUUGACAUUUUUUAAAAAACUAACAGUUUUAAUUCAGCUACAUUACUUAGUUAAGCUCACUUUCUAAUAGCUAUUAAAUUAUUAAAAGCCUGUUUAAACUACUUAUGCCUAAAUGUUCGACAUAGCUCUUAUGCUAUUCUGAGUUGUUUCAAGUUAGCUUCGUUCCUUCUAGGUUUUAGUAUGUUUGUUCAUUUUCACUGAUUUGAUGACGAUAUCUGUAGGGUAGAUCUGGUUUUUUUUGGGUUUGUUUUUAAUGAUUUGCGAUAUCUGUGGUUUGGAUUUUUU
rnacentral:lncRNA from 1 species